rnacentral:misc_RNA from 1 species
GCUUUAGAGGAUCUUAUAGUUAUAUAUAAUUCGUUCUCUGGGAAUAUUCCGGCCAGUCUUGGCAACUGCCGGAGUUUACUUAGGAUCAGGUUCCGGUCUAAUAAGCUAUUCGGGGAAGUCCCAACUGACUUUUGGAGUUUGCCUCAUGUUUAUCUCUUGGACCUUUUUGGCAAUGCAUUUUCAGGAAAUAUAUCACACAUGAUUUCUGGUGCCAAAAAUUUAUCUAACCUCCAAAUAUCAAG